GACGAACGCUGGCGGCGUGCCUAAUACAUGCAAGUCGAGCGCAGGAAACUGACGGAACUCUUCGGAGGGAAGGCAGUGGAAUGAGCGGCGGACGGGUGAGUAACACGUAAGGAACCUGCCUCAAGGAUUGGGAUAACUCCGAGAAAUCGGAGCUAAUACCGGAUAGUUCAACGGACCGCAUGGUCCGCUGAUGAAAGGCGCUCCGGCGUCACCUAGAGAUGGCCUUGCGGUGCAUUAGCUAGUUGGUGGGGUAACGGCCCACCAAGGCGACGAUGCAUAGCCGACCUGAGAGGUUGAUCGGCCACGCUGGGACUGAGACACGGCCCAGACUCCUACGGGAGGCAGCAGUAGGGAAUCUUCCAAAAUGGACGAAAGUCUGAUGGAGCAACGCCGCGUGAGUGAUGAAGGUUUUCGGAUCGUAAAACUCUGUUGUAAGGGAAGAACACGUACGAGAGGAAAUGCUCGUACCUUGACGGUACCUUACGAGAAAGCCACGGCUAACUACGUGCCAGCAGCCGCAGUAACAC
rnacentral:rRNA from 1 species